UGAUGAUGUACCGAUCUGACUUAUCCGU
rnacentral:sRNA from 1 species